rnacentral:rRNA from 1 species
AUUGAACGCUGGCGGCAGGCCUAACACAUGCAAGUCGAGCGGAUGAAGGGAGCUUGCUCCUGGAUUCAGCGGCGGACGGGUGAGUAAUGCCUAGGAAUCUGCCUGGUAGUGGGGGAUAACGUCCGGAAACGGGCGCUAAUACCGCAUACGUCCUGAGGGAGAAAGUGGGGGAUCUUCGGACCUCACGCUAUCAGAUGAGCCUAGGUCGGAUUAGCUAGUUGGUGGGGUAAAGGCCUACCAAGGCGACGAUCCGUAACUGGUCUGAGAGGAUGAUCAGUCACACUGGAACUGAGAAACGGUCCAGACUCCUACGGGAGGCAGCAGUGGGGAAUAUUGGACAAAGGGCGAAAGCCUGAUCCCGCCCUGCCGCGUGUGUGAAGAAGGUCUUCGGAUUGUAAAGCACUUUAAGUUGGGAGGAAGGGCAGUAAGUUAAUACCUUGCUGUUUUGACGUUACCAACAGAAUAAGCACCGGCUAACUUCGUG